rnacentral:rRNA from 1 species
GAUGGGCAUGCGUUUCAUUAGCUAGUUGGCGAGGUAACGGCUCACCAAGGCAACGAUGAAUAGGGGUUCUGAGAGGAAGGUCCCCCACACCGGUACUGAGACACGGACCGGACUCCUACGGGAGGCAGCAGUGAGGAAUAUUGGUCAAUGGUCGAGAGACUGAACCAGCCAAGUCGCGUGAAGGAUGACUGCCCUAUGGGUUGUAAACUUCUUUUAUAAGGGAAUAAAACCUCCCACGUGUGGGAGCUUGUAUGUACUUUAUGAAUAAGGAUCGGCUAACUCCGUGCCAGCAGCCGCGGUAAUACGGAGGAUCCAAGCGUUAUCCGGAUUUAUUGGGUUUAAAGGGUGCGUAGGCGGGAUUAUAAGUCAGUGGUGAAAGUUUGCAGCUUAACUGUAAAAUUGCCGUUGAAACUGUAGUCCUUGAGUGCAAAUGAGGUAUGCGGAAUGUGUUGUGUAGCGGUGAAAUGCUUAGAUAUAACACAGAACCCCGAUUGCGAAGGCAGCAUACUGGGAUGCAACUGACGCUGAGGCACGAAAGCGUGGGGAUCAAACAGGAUUAGAUACCCUGGUAGUCCACGCAGUAAACGAUGAAUACUAACUGUUUGCGAUAUACAGUAAGCGGUACAGCGAAAGCGUUAAGUAUUCCACCUGGGGAGUACGUU